rnacentral:rRNA from 1 species
CGACUACAUUAGAUACCCGCGUAGUCCUAGCCGUAAACGAUACUCGCUAGGUGUCGGCCACGGUGCGACCGUUGUCGGUGCCGUAGGGAAGCCGUGAAGCGAGCCACCUGGGAAGUACGGCCGCAAGGCUGAAACUUAAAGGAAUUGGCGGGGGAGCACCACAACGGGUGGAGCUUGCGGUUUAAUUGGAUUCAACGCCGGAAAUCUUACCGGGACCGACAGCAACAUGAAGGCCAGGCUGAAGACUUUGCCGGAUUAGCUG